rnacentral:lncRNA from 1 species
CAUCCUUCAAGAAAUUUUUGAUCACGUCGAGACUCCCAGCUAGCUUUGCUGCAUCUUUGUCGAGACCUCGGAUUUGAGAGAUCUCUUUCUUGCAGAGGUCGAUGAGGUUUUGAACUAGAACUUCAACGGCAGCAGCAGCUCCUCCUUCCAUUCUUUGUGCUGAUAACUUAAGAGAGAGAAAGAGAGAAAUUGAGUGAGAGAGAUAGCAAAGCAGUAGAAUUGGAUGAGUGAUGCAAGCUCAAGACUUUACAGCCUUUCAUUCUAUAUCUAGAUAUGGAUUUCUUUUUUUCAUUUUUUAUAGUAUUUCAAUCUUUGCCGACACUUUUUUUUAAUACUUUGACUUUGACUAGUUAGCUCAUGAAAGAUUUGGUGGGUAGUAUUAAUAUAAAUUUUUUUUAUCAUGAAUAUAUUUUUGCAUCCACUCAAACCCCACUAAUAUGUCCUAUUUAAAACCAUUACCAAAAAGUUGAAGCUUAAGAAAAUCUCAUAUAUAUAGUCAAAUUAUUGAAUACCAUAAUCAUCAAUUAUUAACUAAAAAAAUUGAAUUUACAAUUAUUUACUCUAAUUGUUUAUAAUUAACCCUAUUGAAUAAUUGCAAAAUCAAACUAUAGCACAGUAAAAUAAAAUUGAAAACAAAACAGUAAAGAAAAAUGAAAAUUGUACAGGUAGAAUACAAAAAAGUGGGAUUGACAAAUGACGAUCUCAAGUGUAUAAGUACCAAAAAGUUGUUAAGAUUUGAUCUCUUCUUGAAUAAUUCGAAAUGAUAAAAUUAGUUUGAUCAAAAAAUAAAAAAGGAAUACUUAGGAGCCGUUCUAUUUGGACCAACCAAAUUAACAUUGUUAACUAAUAUUAUUGCUCGAAAAUAUGCGGCUUAAAAAGAAUCUCAUCAUGGUGGAUCAAUACAUAGAAAUUUUAAUGGGCUUUAAUCAUCAAGGCCCAUCUCUACUCAGUAUCCAGAUAAGCCCAACAAGCUAAUUGAAGCUUCGAAAAAUUGUUCUAUAAGUGCCCUUUGUCAUGAAGAUUCUACGGAGGAGGCACAAUGUUUGCUUACAGAGAUGCAGAGUCAUGGUUGUGCACCUGACGAAGUGACAUACAACAUCAUGACGCGAAGUUUCCUAAAGAAGAAAGAGCUUAGCAAGGCAAUACUAUACUUGGAAGUAAUGCGCGAAAAGGGAAUCUCAGCGGAUGUUUCUACUCUUUCCAUGCUAGUUGAUCAAAUGCAAGGACAAACUAAAGAUGUUUUUCUUCUCAAAUUGAUGAAGGAUGUUUUGCCAAAGGAUAUUGUAUCAUAAUCCACUCAGGCUUCGGGGCUGAUCUCUAGUGUCUUUUUAUAUCUUCUGUUUUUCUUUUUCUUUUUUUUUGUAAAAAAGAUUUUUCUUGUGAUGUUUGGAAGGGUACUUUCUUUUCCUUUAUUUGUGGGUGGUUUUGAAUUAGUCGAUUUGAGUAAUAUUUCUCAUCAUGUGUGCAUAUAUAUUCUCAUAUUUUAAUAGAUUCAUACACUGCAGAAAUAUAUUCAUUUAUGUCUUCUAUUUGUCUUCUGGUUUUUAAUAGAUUCAAGAAUGGAUGUCUUCGAUCUUUGUCUAGUCACAAAUUCAAGCUCAGUAAUAAUGCUUGGGCCUCAAUAAUAAUGUUUGGGCUCAAAAAUAUUUGGGCCUUAUUUGGGCUAAAAAAUUAUUGCAAUUAUAACUUGGCCCAAACUUAAAUUAUAGGAAUUACAUUCUAAGGCCUAUUUUCAAAGCCACUUUAAAAUCAUAAUAAAUAACGUUAAAUAUAUAAAUGAAUUUAUGUUGUUACAAAAACUUUUCUAAUCAUACUUGAAAGGGUUACUUACAUAUAAUAUACUUACAAAUGGCGAACGGAGAAGCUCAUUGCUCCUGCAAGCAAUAAUGGAUACAGGAAUUUAAUCAUGAUCGAGCGAGAUUUCAUCGAAAUUUUGUGAUAAGGUGAAUUUAUAUAAAAAAAAUUAAUCACAUAAAAUAUAUAGGUAAUAAAAAAAAAUAAAAAUAAAAAAUAGACAGGGUGCUUGGCCUCUGCCAACGCCCCUGCCUGCGUGCAUAUUCGAAAAAGAGUUCUAACUUCUGAAUUAUCAAUUAGUAAUUAAUUUCUGGCUUCAACGUAAUACAUAGGCACAAAAUGUUUAAUCCUUUUAAAGACAAAAUACAUAUGAAUUCUGAAUAUAAAAAUGCAGUGAGCUCAUCCAAACACAACAACUUUUUGCAAACAAAUAUCCAUUCAUAAAAUUCACACGAUUCUUCAUCUCUACAAGCAAACGUUCUACCUCCUCCAUAGAUCCUUCUUGACAAAGUGAAUGAAGGAUCAUAUUAUAUAUCCAAACAUUAGGUUGCAAACCUUUAGAAGGAAGUUCCCUCAAAAGAUCUCUUGCAACAUCGCGUUUGCCAUUUUUGCAUAAUCCAUCAUUGCUGAGGAUACUGGUGGGGGCCGGGGCGGUCGAGGUGGGCACGCAUCAGAGCGACGGGCAGAGGCUGAGGUGCGAGGAGGUCGGGGAGCGGAAGGAGCCGAGGGCGAUGUCGAGGGAGUGGACGACGUAUCGCUCGGCGCAUCAGAUGGGGAGCUGCAGAAUGGGGGUGGAUGAAGAGGAAGGAGCAGUUGAUGAGAAUGGGGAGAGUUGGGAGGCAAAGGGGCUGUUUGUGUGUGAUGCGAGUGUGCUGCCGGGAGCUGUUGGUGUUAAUCCAAUGAUCACCAUUCAAUCAACGCCAUAUUGUUUGUCUAAUAAGAUUGCUCAAACAUUGAAGAUGGAGAAGAUGUGAAUCUUCAUUCCUUCUUCAUCAACACAUGCUUGAUGAUUCAACCAUGUUUGUUUCUUGUCUUCACCAUUUGCCUUCUUUAAUACUUGCACCAUGAAAACAUAUACUAUAUAGAUAUAACUGAUACAACCCCCAACAUCAUUUCAUCAAAUUCAAGCUAGCAUGCCUCAAUAUUCAAACAUAAGAAAUAGGCAUUAAUCAUUCAUCAAGAAAUGGAAAAAGCUGGCUACCUCCCUUUUUGCUGGGACUGGAUUCAACUUCCACAGCUGCUGAAUCCUCUUGUUUCACUAUCUUCACAUCUUCAACAUUGUUGUCUGAAUUUUUGUCAUCAUCCUUCUCUUCACAGUCAACAACUACACUGUCGUCAUUCGUCCCCACGAGCAAGCUCGUUGAGGCUGCCUCGCCUCCAAGCUCUUCAAAAGCUCCCCUAUUACUGCCAUGAAUGUUAAAACAAUAACAGAUAGUUCAAGUUUGAUGGGAUGUAACUAACAAUAAACAACUUGCAAUAAGGCUGGACUCUGAUAUCAAAUUAAUAGCUUUUGAAGAAAAAAUCAUAAAAGCAGAACCAUAAACAGAACAAUAGACACAUGCUUGAGAGAUUGACAUUUAGUCCUACACAAAUUAUAUUAAUGGAUCUCAUAUAUAUAUCCUCAUGUCAUCUUGGAAUUUAUUUGAUUCUAUUAGAAACUUUUUUUCUUAAACAGAAUGAGACCUCUAUUCAAUUAGCCAUUCAUUUAUGAAGCUUAUAUGCCCCUCCAAAUCCACCUGAAAAGUAGACAAUCUUCAUCAACACAUGUUUCUUUCUUGUCUUCAUUCUUGUCUUCUUUAAUAAUUACACCAUGAAAACAUAUAAUAUUGAUACAACUGAUACAACCCCAACACCAUUUCAUCAAAUUCAAGCUAGCAUACCUCAACAUUCAAACACAAGAAAAAGCUAAAUGAUUUGAUCUCCUUUGCAUAAACUUGGUUGUGAAUUUCACAUUUUAGCAUUAAGUUGUGUAUGGGCAUAAAUAGUGAUGUGAAUCCUUAGUGUAGACACCAUCUGUUUCUAUAGAUAUAGAAGUGAUCUACUCAAAAUAAUUCCUUACAAUUAAUAAUCAUAUCAACUAAAGUUUAAACAAAGAAUAUACAUGGAAUUACAAAAAAAAUUAUGAAAAGAGGUUGAGCAAGUCACCAUGGAGAAAAUGGAUACUCACUUAUUCCUUCUUCACUAGAUCGCUUGCUUCACUGAAUCACACACAACUGAUUGCUUCUUUCACUUUCCUCGGAAUCAACUGUUUGCUAAGAUGAUUAGUCGCUGUAAAAAUAUAGUAAACAAACUCAAAAUAAUUAAUCUCCUUAUGUUUAAGCAUAUUGAGAUGAAUGAAACAUCACACUAAGGGGUGAGAUCCAUUGUCCACCAAUUUUAUGUAUGUCACUAUAUUUCAUUCUUAUAUCUAUUAUUUUAAUACUAAUAUUUUUUAUAAAAUAAAAUUUAAUACUAUGAAUUAUUCUUAAUAUUUAUUUCAAAAAAAUUAAAUUUUUUAUAAAAUUAUACACCGUAUUUUGAAUUUUUCACUAUUAUUAAUUAAUAAAAGUAAAAUUAAAUGAUGAAAAAUAAUUAUAUACCCUAAUUAGAUGGAAUGAAGUCCAAUUAAUAAUCACAAAAUUAAACUAAAGUAUUCAAAGUUGAAAUUGGAGAAAAAUAUAUAAAAAUAUAAAUAAAAUUGAAAGUUGGGCAUCAAUCCCCAAACUAAGAGCAACUGAAUUAGAAACUCCAUAAAAUAAGACACUUCCUCCGUCCCCGCUUCAAAUGAAAAUAUAGGGCCAUUCCUUAACACACCUUUUACUAGGCUACUUCAAUUAUAAUUAGAAUUUCAUUUUCAAAUAAAAUACACAUGCAACUGUUUCUAGAAAAGAUAUUGAUACUCACCGUCACGGGUUAAUGGAUUUGUUUCCAUUAAGUACUUCGAGGCGCCGCAUUGCAUCCACAGUCUCCAAACUUAAAUUAGGAACGUCUUUGAUUUUCAAUCUUGUUAGACGAGGGAAUAUAGGGAGGGAUGUGAUUGUGAAGCUUCUUCCUUCUGAUUCUUCUUCUCCCCACCUAUCUGAUAUUUCUCUCAAAUUCGGGCACUCUCUUAUUCUCAAAGAAGAGAGAGUCUCGCUGUUACUCAAUAACCAAUCAGCUGGCAGACGUUCCACACCGAUCUCCCUAAUUGACAAAUAUUCAAGGCAUGAUGACGACACAUGACUUGGAACACUCAUCAAUUGCUCACACUUGUAAAUUUCCAAAUGUUGGAGGCGAGGAAAUAGCUUCACUUCACUUCCAUCCCAAAUUUCUAUUUCUGCCCACUCUGCCAGCUUACGCAUGUACCUCAAUUCGAACUUCUCGAGAGCUGGAAAAACAAUGCGUGUGUCGUUGUUCACCAUUCCGUAGAAUGAUGAAUUUAUACACUUCAAAUUCCACAAUCCCCACAAAACAAGGGACUUGAGAUUGGGCAAGUGCCCCAACAUUGGUAUCUCUUCACAUUCUCCGCACCAAUAGAGUGAUAACGACAUUAACUUGUUUAGUAGCACCCAAGAGCCUGGAUGCGCAUCUCGAACUGCCAUCUUCUGAGUCCAUAAUGGAAACCUACUGCCUUUGAAUCCAUCAAUCUUUAACACCCUCAGAUCUGAGUGAGGCUGGAGGCCUUCCAAUACAUCCUCAUCAUUUCUUUCACCUUCUCUAAAUAGAUUCCAUUUCAAAACCAAGUUCAAUAUUUUUGACUUUUCGAAUAAAUUCGCUUUCCCAGCCUCUUCCUUCUCACGAAUCCUUUCGAGAUUGCGAAUCCGUAACUCUCCUUUAAGAUUGUUCAAACUUCCGAGCUCUUCAAUUUUGCAGCCAUUCUCGUCGCCCACUGGAAAGUGGGUUAGCGUUUGGAGAGAAAUUAAUCUCUCAAUUCCCAUAGGCAACUCUACAUCCUCAUUAAUAUAAAGAUGCCUUAAGUUAAUCAAGUGCUUAAUCGUACUUGGCAGUUUCUCCAAACAUCCUGUGUCUACUCUCAACGUCUGCAAGUGAAAGAAUUCACCAAUCCAAUCCGGCAAAACUUCAAUACUUGUCUUUGAAAUGUCAAAAUCUCUCAAAUGUAUCAACUUUUGAAUCGAACUUGGCAGCUCUUCAACUUCAGAGUCAACACGUAAAACAUGCAAACUUUCCAAGUCUAAGAAGUUGAUAUCAGAAAUAUCAGCUUUGAUGUUAUAGUAAUGUACGCAAAGAUUUUGCCGUUUCUUUUGGGAUACGCCUUGAUUCGUCUCCACAAUAGUUGUCUCCGAGAAUCAUGUAUCGAAUUCGGCUGCUACCACCUUACUGUUAACGAACUUGAAACAGAACAAGCAGAUCGUGCACAAGAUCGUGCAUGCCUAAGGCAUAGACAUUUUGAUCUCUCUUUGAAACUUGCAGUAAAGAGUUGUGCAGAAGAAUGUUGAUAAAUUUUUCGCCCAUGGACUCCAUGUCAUCCCUUUCAUCAGCUGGAAGAAAACCUUCUGCCAUCCACAACUCAAUCAGUUCUUGUAUAAUGAUUUCGGAGCCUUUAGGAAACAUCGCACAGUAAGCAAAGCACUUCUUAAGUAAUGGCAGAGACAAAUUAUCAAAGCUCAAUCUUAAUAUUUUUGUGAUAUUAUCUCCUCCUUCAUCGGGUGCAAGCCAUUUCUCCUCGAUUGAACGCCAUUUUUCCUCAGAUUGAUUGCUCAGUAUUCCCCCAACUACAUUGGCAGCCAAUGGCAAACCUUGACACCUUCUUGCUAUCUUUCUCCCAAUGGCCUCAAAUUUUGAUGGAACAUCUUUUUUCCCAAAUGUUUUUUCUUUGAUUAUCGACCAACAAUUUUCCUCUGAUAAGCCUUCCAACUCAUGUACAUGAAAUGGAUUCACAAUUGAAGCAACCUUCAUACUUCUAGUGGUGACAACAAUUGUAUUUCCCUUAACAGAACUAACUCCCAACAAGGAAUUGAUAAAAUCUUCCCAUUUAGAAAGAUCUUCAUUCCAUACAUCAUCAAGAAUAAGAAGAUAUGUUUUAUCUUUCAAAGUUUUUUGAAGUUUUGAAAGAAUAUCUUGCUUACUCUCAACUUCAACUCCAUCAGAACAAGUCAACUCUUUGAGAAUUUUUUUGAAAAGAAUGAUUGGAUCAAAACUUGGAGAAACAUGCACCCAAAUAUGUGAUCCAAAUCGAGUCUACAUUCUUUAGACGAUUGAAGACUUUCCUAGUCAAUGUUGUCUUCCCCAAUCCCCCCAUCCCGACAAUCGAAAUGAUGGAAACCGCGCGUUCAUCAGCUGUGAUGCUAUUGAUAAUCAUCUCAACUAUUUCCGACUCAACAUUAUCUCUUCCAAUAAAAAUUGGAUCAAGAGUGUAUGAAUCAGUUUCCGAAGCAGCAAUAACCAAAGCAGGCUCAUCGGCAAGCUUCUCUACGAGGCCAAGCUCGGUGGCCUCUUUGUUAAUGGAUUCCAAAUUCUCAUUGAUUUCUUUGAUUCUAAGAGCCAUAUUUCGAGAACGUGAAAUAUGGUUGAAGCAUGAGAAGCAUGAUGGUACCUUUGCCUUCUUGGGCUUGAUUUGUUUGGAGAGAAUAUGAUAGUUGAUUUCAUCCAAAACAUUGUCAGCAUCAAAAGCUACGUCUUCAAGUUUCUCCAGCCAGCCCUUGACAGCUUCGCUGGUGAUGUCACGCUUCUCGGCAUCGUUCAAGAAUUUCUGGAUGGUUUUGAGACUCGCAGCUAGCUUUGCUGCAUCUUUGUCGAGACUUCGGAUUUGAGAGAUCUCUUUCUUGGAGAGGUCGAUGAGGUUUUGGACCAGAGCUUGAAGGACGGCGGCUGCAGCUUCUCCUUCCAUUCUUUAAUUGUUGUGCUGAUAACUUAGACAGAGAGAGAAAGAGAGAAAUUGAGUGAGAAAGAGAGAGAGAGGACUAAGGAAUAGAAUUGGAUGAGAUGAGUGGUGGUAGCCGAAGAGUUUAAACU